UUGUAAUAAUUAUAUAGGAAGUCGGUUUUUAAUGGAUUUAAUACCUAAUAAUUCACCCGUUCUCCUUAUUUUACAAUCUGACAUGAAGUACAGUUUCAGGUUCCAGUGUAGACAUAGUGAAGCCAUUGCAGUGGCUUCAGCACAAAGUGGUUUUAGGAGAUAACUUCUUAUAUAGACAUAGCUCACUGGGGUUUGGAACAGACCCAUAGAUGACAGUUUGGACAGGCCAGACAGACCCGUUUAAAACACCAGCUCAUCCUGUAGGACUUGAGUUGUUUUGUGGGUUACAGUCUAUGAUGCUGCUCCAUGUUUCACCACCAUCUCACCCAUGACAGCAGGCAGGCGUUGGCCAGGGAUGGUUUGGGACAUGGAUUACCUCUGGGCCAAGCUGGACUAUUAAGUGUGUUACAGGUGUCAGUACAGUAACGGAAGGUUCCCUCAGCUGCAGCACGAGUGCUGACCUCAGUGUUACUGUGACGACCAUCGAGUCCGGCGACCAGGUCUCGCCCACUAUACCGCGCGCCUCUAAGAACCGGGUUUCCGGAAAGCUCCGCCGCUCGGCCAGCGCCAUCAGCAAGUCCUCUAACUGAACACUUCCACCGGCCGUCAGACUGCAUUGUGAAUGAAUGUAUCAUUUGACUCUAAUGCUUUCCACCUGUUGUUUUUUUUCCUUUCUGAAGCCGAGUCGCAGUGAAAGAUGCAACUGUUGUCGCAAAAUGAUGUAGCUUCACCCUGCCGUGAAGAAAAAGAAACUGCAAUUAUGCUGAAGUAAAUCUUCAAAUGUGAAAUUCAUUGCAAUUUUCUAAAUAAUGCUGCAUUUGGAAUGGAUUUACGCAUUCGGAUCCCAAAAAUGUCCUUACGACCGAGUAGCAAAUGAAUAAUACGAAACAUUUCAAAAACCCUGAGGCUUUAGCUAGUUUUUAAUACUCUCAUUGUCCAGUUCUUUGAGCUUUUCUUCAUGUCAAACACUGAAAACCCAAUCACUGAUGCAUAUGGGAGAGACUUUUGUUGUUGUUGUUGUCCCGUCCCAGCACUGAGACGCUCUGAAAGAAUACUGACACUUUUGAAUCAUCAGAGUCUGCUUUUACUGCUUUCAGACCGUAAUCAGUGCAACAGACUGCAAUGAAAUCACGAUUUCUUUUGUUAUUAUGAUUUUCUUUUAAGUGACUCGUUUGAUUAUUUUACGGAACUGAUUUAUGCAACAUGCUGAAGGCUCCCGUUGUUUGUAAAUCUGUCGAGGUGUAGCACAAAUGUGAGCUUCUUAAUUUGGGAAUUGAACGUCUCCCAUUCCCGUCAUGUAAAUCUACUCCAGCAUUCCGAUGUUUUUGCACUCACUCAAUGGUGGUCGAUGUUAGUUCCGUUCUUCCCUCUGUAUUUGGAUGUACAUUGCUUUUAUUUUGAUUUGAUUUGAUAAUAUAUAUAUUUGUUUCAUGUUGCGUGUGUGUGUAUAGAUAUAUAUAUAUAUAUAUAUGGAGAAAUAUCUGCCAUCGUACUAUUCCUGACUAAACGGAGGAAACGCCUCCAGCGCCUCAGGUGAAGCUGAUGCCUGCACUGGCUGUUUAUGAAGGGAGCUGUUCACAGUGCCUGUGUAAUACCUGUCCGGAUUUUCUGAGUUUUGGUGUUUUCUUUGUGGUUUCUGCCAUCGCUUAAUUGAUCCUGCACACUUCCUACAUGGAGAGCAACGAGUCGUACAUUUCACUGGAGUAAAUUGAAUGAGAUUGUCUGCGUUUUGUGAGAGCUGCUUUUGUCUGAUUAGAUGCUGGAUGGGGGUUCUUUUCCAGCUGCUUCCCCGAUUCCCGCGUGCCUCUCCGAGUGCCCUUUACUGUACCAGCAGCAUGCCAGCGCUUCUCUCUCUCUCUCUCUCUCUCUCUCCUGCCGCCCCUCUCUGUUCCCGUAGAGACCCGGCCUGGUUGCCAUGGAGGCCAGGUGUUACACACGCUGCAGGCUCCGCCCAGGCUGCAACAGGACACAUGUUGCACUACUUUGCCUUACCUGUACACUUGUCUUUGUUUCGCUUCGCCUGAUACUUUUUCUCUCUUCCAAAUGCUAAGUACCAUGCUCUGAAUGAAAAACGCUGACGAAUGUAUGCAAACCGACAGCCCAGAUCCCACCUGAAAUCUCAACUGAGAUCCUGCAGAUUUGAAAUGGGCUUUGGGUUGAAAAUACUGCAGCUGGCCUAACUUCUGUUUGAUUAUGACAUGUUCAUUGUAGACUUUGUUGUUAGCCUUGUAUAUUGUCUCUUUUUUUUUUUUCCUUUGAAUGUUCUAAAUUCUGAAGGGUAUAAAUAUAUUAAUGCCUGUAAUAUAAUCUUUGUAUAAGACAUUGAAGAUAA